rnacentral:sRNA from 1 species
GGAAUUUGUUGUGAGAGAAGAUUUAAUGGGCCUGGCAAUAGGAACACAUGGUAGUAACAUCCAGCAAGCUAGGAAGGUUCCUGGAGUUACCGCCAUUGAGCUAGAUGAAGAUACUGGAACAUUUAGAAUCUACGGAGAGAGUGCUGAUGCUGUAAAAAAGGCUAGAGGUUUCUUGGAAUUUGUGGAGGAUUUUAUUCAGGUUCCUAGGAAUCUCGUUGGUAGGUACUUUUACUAAAUGUUAAAUAAGUUAAUAAACAUUAUUUAGUUACAUAUAGCAACUUAAUUGAAAACUAGUCUUGUAGUCUGAUAACCUUAUUCCAGUUAUAUGUAGAUUUAUUUAGAUAGCAAUACUUCUUUUCUUUUUUUGGUGAUAACAUUUUGUGUAACUUGUUAUUGUCAUAUGUUAAAAAGUAAAGAUGUUUCUUCCGUACAGGAUGACCCACUAAUAAGGCCCAGGGUUUUUAUAAGUUUGUCAUUACAGUU